rnacentral:rRNA from 1 species
GACAAAGACUGACGCUCAGGUGCGAAAGCGUGGGGAGCAAACAGGAUUAGAUACCCUGGUAGUCCACGCCGUAAACGAUGUCUACUUGGAGGUUGUGCCCUUGAGGCGUGGCUUCCGGAGCUAACGCGUUAAGUAGACCGCCUGGGGAGUACGGCCGCAAGGUUAAAACUCAAAUGAAUUGACGGGGGCCCGCACAAGCGGUGGAGCAUGUGGUUUAAUUCGAUGCAACGCGAAGAACCUUACCUGGUCUUGACAUCCACAGAACUUUCCAGAGAUGGAUUGGUGCCUUCGGGAACUGUGAGACAGGUGCUGCAUGGCUGUCGUCAGCUCGUGUUGUGAAAUGUUGGGUUAAGUCCCGCAACGAGCGCAAC